rnacentral:rRNA from 1 species
CAGCCGUAAACUAUGCUCGCUAGGUGUCAGGCAUGGCGCGACCGUGUCUGGUGCCGCAGGGAAGCCGUGAAGCGAGCCACCUGGGAAGUACGGCCGCAAGGCUGAACUUAAAGGAAUUGGCGGGGGAGCACAACAACGGGUGGAGCCUGCGGUUUAAUUGGACUCAACGCCGGACAACUCACCGGGGACGACAGCAAUAUGUAGGCCAGGCUGAAGACCUUGCCUGAAUCGCUGAGAGGAGGUGCAUGGCGUGUGACUGU